GGGGCACCCAUGGGUGCUCGAUGGAAUGAAUGGGCAUUGAGGGGCACCCAUGGGUGCUCCAAUGGAAUGAAUGGGAUUUGUGGGCACCCAUGGGUGCUCCUGUUUAAUAUGUGGGGUUGGGGGGCACCCGUGGGUGCUCCAAUGGAAUGCAUGGGCUUUGAGGGGCACCCAUGGGUGCUCCACUGGAAUGAAUGGGCUUAGAGGGGCACCCAUGGGUGCUUCUAUGGAAUGAAUGCGGUUUGGGGGCACCCAUGGGUGUUCCAAUGGAAUGUGUGGGGUCAGGGGGCACCCAUGGGUGCUGCUGUGGAAUGAAUGGGCUUUGAGGGGCACCCAUGGGUGCUCCUGUGGAGUAAAUGGAGUCUGGGGGCACCCAUGGGUGCUCCAAUGGAAUGAAUGGGAUUUGGGGGCACCCGUGGGUGCUUCUAUGGAAUGAAUGAGGUAUUGGACACCCAUGGGUGCUCCUGUGUCAUAGGUGGGGUCGGGGGGCACCCAUGGGUGCUCCAGUGGAAUGAAUGGGCAUUGAGGGGCACCCAUGGGUGCUCCUGUUUAAUAGGUGGGGUCGGGGGGCACCCAUGGGUGCUCCA
rnacentral:lncRNA from 1 species